rnacentral:rRNA from 1 species
UACGUAGGGUGCGAGCGUUGUCCGGAAUUAUUGGGCGUAAGAGCUCGUAGGCGGCUUGUCGCGUCGGAUGUGAAAGCCCGGGGCUUAACUCCGGGUCUGCAUUCGAUACGGGCAGGCUAGAGUUCGGUAGGGGAGAUCGGAAUUCCUGGUGUAGCGGUGAAAUGCGCAGAUAUCAGGAGGAACACCGGUGGCGAAGGCGGAUCUCUGGGCCGAUACUGACGCUGAGGAGCGAAAGACGUGGGGAGCGAACAGG